ACCAUGAACCUCUUUUAGAUUUCUUCUGUUGUAAUAACGCAUCUGUUGGCUGAUUGUAUGCUCCAUAUCCACUGAUCUUUCGAAGACUACGGAGUCAGUGUGUUCACUUGAACAGGUAGAAUGCUCAACUUUAUCGGGGACAGACAAAACAUCUCUGUGUUUUCAAUACACAUGAGAUAUAAAUGAUGAGCAUUUGGAAUAGGUAGCAGUGCAUUCACUAAUUCCACAUGCCAUACUAAAAUCAUCGUCAUUGCUGUGGACACCACGUAUGUGACUAAGCCAAAGAUUUCUAUUAGGAGAAAUAAAGUUGCAUAGGGGGCAGUUGAGAAAGCUUGACAUAGCUUGACAUAGUGUUGUACUGUUGAUUCACAAGACAGAGGUGCUGGGUUCGAACCUUGCAUGCUUCUUAUUUAUUCAUGCGGUUCAGCCUCGAAUCUAACCCUAGAAUGUGGUCACGUGAUUUAGAUUGACCAUGUGCUUUUUCUUCUUUGAAUAUGGAUAGGGAUACAAGGAUAGGGACACAAGCACAGCUGAAAAGCCUUUUAAAGAUUGGCAUAUCUCUAACUGGCUCAGUGAAAAUGGGCUUCCAUUGUCUGUCUGCGACAUAUUUGAAGAUGAGUUAAUUGAUGGUUCGGCUUUUGUGGAGUUGAGUGAGGCUGAUGUGAGGUCAAAUGGACAAGUGAAAAGAAUAAUUCGCCUCGUAAAUUCCAUGACGUCUGACAAGGUUAGCCUGGAUGAUACCCAUGUGGACGACAUUCCCAAUACCAGUACUCCAACUCGGUACAAACACCCCUUAACUUCUCUCUCAAUCUUGGAGCAUCGAUUCACGCUCAUCUACUCCCACUUUUUCAGAUAUUUCAUCUUCUUCAAGGCGAGAAUUCUGCAUUCCCCAUACCCCAUACGAGCAUACGAGUAUUAUGUCAGCUAUUUUUGAGAAAACUUUGAACUGUGAGGUUAGAAAUGAGAUCGUAAGAGACUUAGUAACCCAUGUGUACUCAUACAUUGAAAAACCUACAUCUGCUUUUGUGGAGAGUGUUGCCAAGAAGCUGGUGGAUAAGUACUCAUUUAUGGGUGACUUCGGAAACAUGCCACAUGGUUCCUGGCAGAAAAAGAUGAUGGAUCGCGUGUACAACGUUGAAAAAGGUCGGAAGCGCAAAUCAUCUGAAGAUGAUGAUUUACCUCGAAGUGUGCUGCAAUAACCAAUCGUUACCCUCCACUUUCAGUGGAUAACUCUGAUAUCACAACAGAGAAAGAAGCGCUUGAUAAAGAGUUCGAGAAAGAAAAACCGAGGCGAGAUGUAGUAUUGGACCUCAUGAAAAGCACUUACUACUCUCGACGCAAAUAUCUCUUACAUGAUAUUGGCUCUGUUUCAUCUAAAGUAGCCAAGUACCCUGCUUUUAAAAUGCCUUCAGUGAUUGAGCAAGAAAUGGAUCUUGUUAUGAUCAAGCAAAAUGUCUACCGCACCUUCACUGGCAAGGAAGUGCUUACAGCAGGGGCUCAAAACGCAAAGAUAUUAAAGCUUUGAUGUCUGAACAAGGUAUUGUAUCAAUCUUACCCACUGUUUUAUUUUAGCAAUUGAGGAAAAUAGACUUGCUAUGAUGUGUCUCUUCCACUUGCUCUGUAUUGUGCCCAAGAAAAAGGAUAAAUGUGGAGAGUUCAGCGUGUUGUUGAAAGAAUAUGCCAUGGUUGAUGACCCUGACGUCGAAGCAACGAAAUCAGUGAAAGGACCUCACAUUGGAAGAUUCAUUCCAGAGGAUGGCGCUUCUUGUUCUUGGAGGAUUUUGUACUGUGUAAAGUGAAAGACUGGUUUUUCCCUAUUCUAUAUAUUUCAUCUUUCAUACCCCCCAAAUAUUUUUGAUGUGUGCUUGUUUUUGCAAGAAUUUGUUUUUGGCAUUCCUGAACCUUGUGGUCUGAAGAGUUCUACGUAUAGAUCCGAUAUUCAGAACAUUACUUUCAAUUAAUUAAACCCUUCCAACUGUGAUAUAAAUAUAAUAAUUAGAUGACAUUAUUAUAAUUAUUUGUUGAAAUAAAAAAUUUGUUAAAAUGUGACAGGGCCAAUGAAAACAGACCUUAACGCGGCAAUAAUUAAAUUAAGCUAUAGGCCGAUUUAGUAGAAAUGAAAGACAUGGGCAAAAAAAUUUUUUUUUACAGGUGCUACCUACCUGUAAAAAUUUGGGUCUCUACGAAGCUUUAAACAGGUCAAGCGCGGACGUUGAAGAAACUCACCGAACGUACUGUGUACGUGAGGGGAAAUUCCCUGGGAAUUUCCCUAUUAUUGUUAAUUAUUUUUAUCAAAUAAAAGAUGACAACUUGUACAAGACUAUUUCAUCAGCCCAGUACUUACGGUGCCUUCAUACAAUAUUGUUUGUGUACAUAAUAGUGAAUGUCUGUAAACAAUCGCUAAUUAGUUGGGGGUGGUCAGUUGCUAGGUAACGAUGAUGAUGUCAUGGCUACCUAACUACUAACUGGGCUACCUGUAGGAAAUACUUACGAGUGAUUUCAAUGUAUGGUUCAUAAGAUAUGGAUUUUUAAAGAAAAACAUGUAUUUAUUCUGUAUUUUCUUGUUUUAAUUAAAGGGUUAAACUUUCAUUAUGGUGACUUUAACCUUUUGUUCUGUAGGAUUCAAAGGAUUCAAAGUGAUCGGAAAGAUGUUAACACUGACUGGGAUGCGUAAUAUACAUGCCGUGUAACUAUCGUUGUAAUUAUUCCAAUACACAUUUUCAACUUAAACUUUUGAAUGAAAUGCGAUGUGUUUAUAACCGUUUUUGAGGUGUGAUUUGAACGGAUGAUAGUUUUUCAUUUCUGAUGGUUGAAUGAAUGUAAAACUGCUUCAAUCUGCUUCAAUCAAAGGGUUGUGUAUUCUUGUGCUCUAAAAAAUAUUAUGUUAUCCGUGCCAACAGUCACUACAAUGAUGUCAGUCAAAGACUGGAACUUGCCAGUCCACUAGGCUCUUUUUUGAAA